rnacentral:rRNA from 1 species
AUAGCUGGUUCUCCCCGAAAUAGGUUUAGGCCUAGCCUUGAAUUAUUUCAUCCUGGAGGUAGAGCACUGAAUGUGGAAUGGCCGCGUCUAGCGGUACUGACUGCAAUCAACCUCCGAAUGCCAGGAAUUGUAGAUUCAGGAGUCAGUGUAUGAGGUGAUAACGUCCAUACGCGAAAGGAAAUCAAUCCAGAUCAUCAACUAAGGUCCCAAAAUAUAUGUUAAGUGGGAAAGGAUGUGGAGACGCACGAACAGCUAGGAGGUUGGCUUAGAAGCAGCCAUCCUUUAAAGAGUGCGUAAUAGCUCACUAGUCGAGUAUCUCUGCGCCGAAAAUGUACCGGGGCUAAACAUAUUACCGAAGUUAUGGAUUUAUAAUUUAUUAUAAAUGGUAGGGGAGCGUUCUAAGGGCGCUGAAGGUAGAUCGUGAGGACUACUGGAGCGCUUAGAAGUGAGAAUGCCGGUGUGAGUAACGUAAGGUAGGUGAGAAUCCUACCCACUAUUUGACCAAGGUUUCCAGGGUCAAGUUCGUCUUCCCUGGGUUAGUCGGGACCUAAGGCGAGGCUGAAAAGCGUAGUCGAUGGACAACAGGUUUAUAUUCCUGUACUGCUUAUAGGACUGAUGGAGUGACGGAGAAAGCUAGAAAGAGCCAGUUAUUGGAUUCUGGUCUAAGCGUUUAGGUUGAUGCACAGGAAAAUCCGUGAUAUCGAUAAGACUGAAGCGUGAUGGCGACGUGGUCUACGGACCGCUAAGUCUUCUGAAGCUAUGCUUCCAAGAAAAACUUCUAAAGAUAUGUUAUAAGUACCCGUACCUAGAACCAACACAGGUGGUCAAGGAGAGAAUCCUAAGGUGAGCGAGAGAACUAUGGUUAAGGAACUCGGCAAAAUUACCCCGUAACUUCGGAAUAAGGGGAGGUUUCUUCGGAAACCCGCAGUGAAUAGGUCCAGGCAACUGUUUACCAAAAACACAGGUCUCUGCUAAAGCGUAAGCUGAUGUAUAGGGGCUGACGCCUGCCCAGUGCUGGAAGGUUAAGAUGAUUUGUUAGGUGGACGAAAGUCGAUAACACCGAAGCUUUGAUUUGAAGCCCCAGUGAACGGCGGCGAUAACUAUAAUCGUCCAAAGGUAGCGAAAUUCCUUGUCAGGUAAGUUCUGACCCGCACGAAAGGCGUAAUGAUCUGGACGCUGUCUCAACCAUAGACUCGGUGAAAUCUUAAUACCUGUGAAAAUGCAGGUUACCCGCGACAGGACGGAAAGACCCCAUGGAGCUUUACUGUAGCUUGAUAUUGAAGUUAGGUAAUUUAUGUAGAGGAUAGGUGGUAGACUAUGAUGUAUGGACGCCAGUUCAUACGGAGUCGCCCUUGGAAUACCACCCUUAAAUUAUUUGACCUCUAACUUA